rnacentral:rRNA from 1 species
UACGAAGGGGGCUAGCGUUGCUCGGAAUCACUGGGCGUAAAGCGCACGUAGGCGGCUUUUAAGUCAGAGGUGAAAUCCUGGAGCUCAACUCCAGAACUGCCUUUGAUACUGGAGAGCUUGAGUCCGGGAGAGGUGAGUGGAACUGCGAGUGUAGAGGUGAAAUUCGUAGAUAUUCGCAAGAACACCAGUGGCGAAGGCGGCUCACUGGCCCGGUACUGACGCUGAGGUGCGAAAGCGUGGGGAGCAACAGG